AGUACGAGAGGAACUGGCUUUCGAAGCCACUGGUGGACCGGUUAUCUGACAAGGUACGCCGGGCAGCUACGCUUUAAGUGAUAAGUGCUGAAAGCAUCUAAGCACGAAGUACCCCUCGAAAAGAGACUCCUUAGGACAUCGCAAGAACAGCGGUUUGAUAGAACUGGUGUGUAAGUACCAAGCUUCGGCGAGGUAUUCAGCAUGCAGUUACUAA
rnacentral:rRNA from 1 species